CGACUAAAACGUAAGAAUUCACCAUAUUAUAGAUAUUGCUGUUCAAAAGGAAUGGAAUCAUUGUGUAUUAAAUUAGGCAAAUUUUAACUACAAUUAAGCUAUUAUUUAUUCUACCUUGAUAUACAGCGUGUAAAAAGAAGAAAUCCGAGACUCUGGAGAAAGUUCUGAAUGAUGGUUUAGCCUUGUUGGCGAAAGAAAAAGGAUCAAAAUGUCGGGGGAAAAAGCCUUCUCAUUUUCGCUUAGUGCAAGUUGGUUGUAAGAGGUUGACCCACACGCCUUACCGCUGCCGUCAAGGAUCAAUUAAGCAAAAUGAUAACCAGCAGUAUGAUAGCUCUGUGGCUGAUGACUUUCAAGUAAAUGAUGAGCACAAGCAAACAGACGUUGAUAUUGAGCUAGAGAAUCUUAUAUUUGAAUGCAGAGGACUUUUGGCUUCAGAGAAAGAGGAUGCCAAGAAAUGGUCUGAUCGCAUGGAAGAGCUUCAUUCUCUUUGGGAAAAUAAUAGA